GAAAGAUCAGUUCCAUGAUGCCUGGGAUGGACUGAGUCUUGGAUUAAAGGCUGAGACAACCUUGGUCCUGGAGAUGGCAAUUUAUGGAGGCCUUUGAGUGAUUGCUGUAUUGCUGCUAAAGAGGGCCCAAAACUUGGGUGAGACUCUCACUGACAUUUUGUUUAGCAGUAAUAAAGAUAUUGUUUAAAGCCAAAUCAAUAUCCUCUUCAAUGUGAUCUUCAAGCAUGAAAUAGGACACCGGCUUUCACUUAUUUUACACAAGUAGUACCGGUUUUCUAGGACUUGCUUACCUGGUGACCAAAACCAUGUACUGACAAUAUGACAGGCAGACACUAUGGAAAAUACUAUAUCCAAAAAGAAAAAUGUAUUUUGCUAAAAGGAACUCCCAAGGCAACUUUACCAUAAGGGUUGACCUCAGAUAUUCAGUGAACAUUAAGGUUGCAGCAAUGCCCAAGCCCUUGCACAUUCACACAAAGUUACUCUUUGGCUGUAAAGGAUCCUUUUAAAAGAGAGAAAGUGAAUAUAAUGGAGGAGAAAGGGACUGGGGAGGAAGAAAAAGCCGCUUUUGUGCCAUAUGAAUUAUUUAUUCAGUCAAGCAAUGAACUCACUAUUUCCAACUCUAACAAUCUAUCAGGGAACUCUAAAUAAGUGAACUCAAAGAGUAAUAAAGUUUAAAAACUAUCACUACUUA